GAUGAACGCUAGCGGGAGGCCAAACACAUGCAAGCCGAGCGGUAUUUGUCUUUCGGGACAGAGAGAGCGGCGUACGGGUGCGGAACACGUGUGCAACCUGCCUUUAUCAGGGGAUUGCCUUUCGAAAGGAAGAUUAAUUCUCUAUUAUAUAUUGAUUUGCCACAGUUAAUAUUGAAAGUUACGGCCGGUAAAAGUGGGCACGCGCAAGAUUCACUAGUUGGUUAGGUAACGGCUCACCAAGGCGAUGAUCUUUAGGGGGCCUGAGAGGGUGAUCCCCCACACUGGUACUGAGACACGGACCAGACUCCUACGGGAGGCAGCAGUGAGGAAUAUUGGUCAAUGGGUGCAAGCCUGAACCAGCCAUCCCGCGUGAAGGACGACUGCCCUAUGGGUUGUAAACUUCUUUUGUAUAGGGAUAAACCUCUCCUCGUGAGGAGAGCUGAAGGUACUAUACGAAUAAGCACCGGCUAACUCCGUGCCAGCAGCCGCGGUAA
rnacentral:rRNA from 1 species